rnacentral:lncRNA from 1 species
UGGUCCGUAUUGGUGGAAGUCUCCUCAUAGGUCUUCGGAUCCUCUCUACAUCCUGUCGCCAUCGUAGCAUCUAUCCUCGAUGCACACACCUCUAGGCCCUCUCUUGGUGCCCGCUUAUCGCUGCUCGAGUGUUUGGGAAACUCCACCUCUUUUUGUACCUCUAUGCCUAGAGCUUAUGCCAUGGUCAUGGACAUAAUCAUCACUCAUGAAGGAACAUCUCUCCAGUGCUCCUCCUCUUCCAUGUGUAGAUGCACCUAUCCUUGAUUCUCCACCUUCCUAUGAUCUGACAACCUUGCAAUAGACAACUCCAACUGGUACUGACUGGACCUCUGACUGAUCCUCCAUGGUUGAAGCAAUCACCUCGGCCUCUCCAGACACAAUAGAUCCCUCUACUGGUAUAGCCGACUCCUCAACCUCCUCCCUCUCAUCACAAUUCUGCUGCCCUUGGAGACAUUCAGCACCCUUGAAUUGCUUUUAAAAAUGAAACCCUUUUCCUCCAAGUAUCCAAGUGAUACUAUGCUUCUCUUGAGAUCCAGGACAUGAUGCACAUCUGUCAAGGUCUGCACCCUCCUGUCAAACAUC